GAUGAAGAACGUAGCGAAAUGCGAUAAGUAAUGUGAAUUGCAGAAUUCAGUGAAUCAUCGAAUCUUUGAACGCACAUUGCGCCCCUUGGUAUUCCGAGGGGCAUGCCUGUUCGAGCGUCAUUAUAACCCUCAAGCUCAGCUUGGUGUUGGGGCCUGCUGCACUGGCAGCCCUUAAAAUCAGUGGCGGCGCCAUCUGGCUCUAAGCGUAGUAAUUCUUCUCGCUAUGGAGUCCUGGUGGAUGCUUGCCAUCAACCCCCAAUUUUUCUAUGGUUGACCUCGGAUCAGGUAGGAAUACCCGCUGAACUUAAGCAUAUCAAUAAGCGGAGG
rnacentral:misc_RNA from 1 species